CUACCAUGCAGUCGAGCGGUAGCACAGAGAGCUUGCUCUCGGGUGACGAGCGGCGGACGGGUGAGUAAUGUCUGGGAAACUGCCUGAUGGAGGGGGAUAACUACUGGAAACGGUAGCUAAUACCGCAUAACGUCGCAAGACCAAAGUGGGGGACCUUCGGGCCUCAUGCCAUC
rnacentral:rRNA from 1 species